rnacentral:tRNA from 1 species
GAAAUUCCGUCGACUUUAAAAAUCGUGAGGGUUCAAGUCCCUCUAUCCCCA